CUAAAGAUGACAAAUUUGACAUAACAUAACUGCUACAGUAUUUCUUAACAGCUCUCCAUGUCUGGCAAGGGACUGUACAAGGAGCAAAGCAAUAUUUUAUCAUUUCUUAAUUACAUGCCGCUCUUUCUUUCCCUCAGUUUUUCGUUGUCUUCAUGCCCAAAAUCCUCAAUUUCUCUUUCUUUCUUUGUUUCUCCCAAAACUCCCUUCUCUGUCUUCAUCCCCUUCUCUCCGUCGCAAUCCCUUUUCUUUCUUUAUUUCUCCAACAAACCCUUUUCUUCUUCAACCCGUUGCUCUUCCCCAGCCCACAAGCGUUCCCUUCUCUCUAGCGAUCGCCUUCUUCAACAGUUGUUGUUGUUUUCGUGCUCUCCAAAUUGUAGUUGAUCCAGCUGAUGUGAAUGCAAUAGCAACAACUGUCAAGAGAGCUCUUGCAACCUAUGGCACCCCUGCCUUGAAAGAGAUGAUCCAAAAUUUCAUGGCCCAAGAUCUUUCAUGAAAGGUUAAUAUGAUAUUAACAUGCCAGAGCAAAAGCUAGAGCUCAUGCAUCAUAUUAGCAGUGGGAAUUUCAUCUCAUUCAAGUGCCAAUUUGUGAGCAAAAGCAACAUGCCUGAUGAACAAGUCAUUGUUGUUUUGCAAUUUUGCUUUUGGAGGGUUACUGAUGUUUUAAAACAAUGUAUACAUGAGUGACACAAAGCUAACAUGUGCUGUUAUGAACCAAAGAACAGGUGGUUUUUGGCAGUUAUUGGUUAAUAAAAGUUUUAAGCAGUA